AAGCGACGCAGUACAAAGUGAUGCCGCACAAGGCCACUGAGAGUUUAGUAUAUUCCAAAACGUAGAAGAGAGUAGACGUUAUAUUUCAAAAUUUUUGAUUUCGUUUACAUCAUGGCUACGAGUGGGAAGAAGUGCGUUUUUAACUGUAGCAUGAUCAGUGAAAAAAUAAUAAUUUUCGAAGAAGACAAACUAAAAAAGUGCCAACAUAUUUCCAAAGUUCGUGUCGCUUUUGAUUUGAAAUACAGUGAUAUUGUGUUACCAGAAAUAGUAGACGGUGUCAGUGGUUAUCAUCGACUUGGCUAUAAAGCAUUUACAUCCAUCCAAAAUAAAUAUUUGGAUAAAUAUAACGAGAGCAAUCAAUUGGAAGUAGCAAAAUCAUCACAAGGUCACACGUCCAUUGAGGCAUCUGCGUCUCCGCAGGCCGAACAUUCGGCAGUGAGUAAUCAAUCCAUAGGAGAUGAUUUUCCGCAAGGUUCCACAUCUAUUAUUUCACAAUGCGACAAUUCAGCUGGUAAUAUAUUUUUAGUUUAUAUAUUAUAUAGUAUGCACAUACUUUUAAUAGAAAAUAAUUUUCAAAAUGUGCAUCGGUAUUUAAAAAUAUUUUAAAAAAAUUAAUUGAUGUAUUAAAUAUAUAUAAAUGUUUCAGAAGAAAAUGACGAUAACGUUCGGUCGUCUGAUAUAUUCAGUGGCAGUCAACUUUCACAUGAACAAUUAGAUGUGGAACGACAACCUGAAAAUUUAAAAUUGAAGAAUGCAGGUAUCUGUUUGUUUUGUAAUCAAGCAAGGAAGAAGCAAGGGCAAAAAGCGCUUCUUUUGAUACGAUCUGAAAGUGAAAUUUUAAUUGAAAAAAUUGUCACAAAUGCAACUGCCUUAAAUGACAAUGAAACAUUAUCGAAAAUCGACAGAUUGGGGGAUAAUCGUGUUGUUUAUUACCAUAAUACAUGUAAAUUGAUGUAUUUUAAAAAACACAUUGCGGCUCCGGAGCCAAAACAGUCAGAUUGGCAUAUUGCAAGAAACGUUCAUGAGUUAGUUGACAAUGAACUGUAUUCUUUCAUCGCUGAAAAUACAAUAGGAAAGAAGCAAUGCUAUUCUUUAAAAUUUUUAGUACAGUAUGCCAAAAGUGCGUUGUAUAAAUUGUUUUCGGAGAAAUAUGAUAGUUUCGGACCAUUAAUAACGAGUACGAAAUUGCUUCAAAAGAUUGAAAAAAAAUUUGCCAAGCAGUUACAAAUAAUUGAAUUGCAUGACCGGAAAAUUAUUGCACCGAGCGGAAAAUGUAUUAUAUCCGCAGAAACAUUUAGCAAAUUUGAAGAUACCGAAACAUUGCAACGAGCUGCAUAUGUUUUGAGGAAAAAAAUUAUGGCCAUAAAAAAAGAUCCGCUACCUCAACAGCUGACUGCAGAGGACCUGAUCAAAGGCGAAUGUAAAAUUCCUAAUGAUAUUGUACAAUUUUUAACUUCUUUAAUCUGCGGAAAUGAUCCCAGAACUGUGAAAAGUUCCAAUUGUUCUCGAAAAGUCAACUCUAUAGCCCAAGAUUUAGUUUAUGCUAUUCAUAAUGGUAAAAUCAAAACGUCCUGAGACAAAAGCAUGACAAGUAGCCGCAAAGUUAUAGAUUUACUUAAUAAAUAUGGUCAAUGUGUUAGUUACAAUACUGUUGAGGAGUUGGAAACGGAAGCGACGUUUUCAUCCCUCAGUAAAUCAGUAAUCUGUCCUCAAAGUAUUGAAUUAUCCCCUCACUACUGCACAGGAGUGGCAUUUGACAAUUACGAUCGAUUUGUUGAAACGUGUAGCGGAAAAGAUACGCUGCAUGAUACAGUGGGAAUUAUAUAUCAAAAUAUAAUAGCAGGUCAGUCCAGUUCUGACAAACCUGAAGCUGAAAACAUUAUUAUUCGUGCACCUCCUGCGAAAAGGAGAAGAACAUAUGAAGUUAUAUCGACGGAGAUACUUCCGUACUUGAAAAAACCAAAGCUCACUGACCGAUUAUUACCUCUUGGAAGCAAUUUACGUGAUGUUGAAGCCAGUAAUUAUGUUUUUUACAAAAAGUUAGAUGUAACAUGGGUAAUUUCACAUUACCUAAAAAUUUCUAAUACACCUAUGUGGGUCGGGUAUAAUAGUAAAAUUGUAGAUGAUCAGUCAGUUAAACAAAAGGUAUCUUAUCUUACACCGAUUAAUAUUUCACCUACGAACGUAUCUGUUGUCAUCGAAACAAUGCGCCAAAGCCAAAAAAUAGCAGAAGAAUGUUCGCAACAGUACAUACAAGUGACGUAUGAUUUGGCAAUCGCAAAAGUAGCUUAACAAAUUCAGUGUACGGAGAAACCACAGUUCAAUAAUCUUUUCAUUCAUCUUGGUGGUUUCCAUAUAAUGAUGGCUUAUUUUAAAGCUGUUGGAAAAUUUAUAGAUGAGAGUGGUCUACCAUAUAUGAUGGUUGAAAGUGGGUUAUUGGCUUCAGGAUCAGUAAACGGAUUUUUAACUGGCAAACAUUUCAAUCGCUGUAAACGAUUGCACCCGUUAGUGACCUUAGGAUUGCGAUCAUUACUUUUCGAAGAAUUCCUGCGAAAAGAAGAUAAAACCAUCGACAAUGAUUUGAUCGAGAUUGUUAAUCAAUUGCAAUCAACAACUUUAUCGACAUUUGAAAUUCAAAAUACAUCAUUGAAUGAUUUAUUGAAUGAAUACUUGAUAUUUGAAUCGGAAGUGUUAAACGGAAAACACGGUAAAACUGCACAGUAUUACGCGAUGUACAUUCGCUUUGUUAAUUACUAUCUUUUGUUUUCAAGAAGCAUUCGUCUCGGUGAUUUUGAACUUUCCAAAAAAGUCAUACCAAAGUUAGUCAACUUAUUUUUUGUUUUCAAUCAAGGAAAUUAUUCUCGAUGGCUACUAAAAUAUCAUGAUAAUUUGUUAAGAGUGCAAAUAACACAUCCAGGCCUCGAGAAUGAUUUUAAAAAUGGAUUUUUUGGUGUAAAGAGGACAGAAAAGACAUUUUCACGAAUGCCUGUUGAUUUGACGUUAGAGAAAACGGUUAAUGCUACUGCUUCAAGAUGAUUAACAGGUAUAACGCACUUUACAAAUUCUAUCUCAGCGCGGCAAAGAUGUGCUAAAAGCCAUGGUAUCCGAUCAACUAUUGUAUCAUAUACAUUCGAUGUAACAGGUUUAAAAAGAAGUCAAGAUAUUACCGGAGACUUAGAAAAACACCAAAUUAAAUAAGAUACUACUCAGUUGCAAAAUUUUAUAACUAUAUUAAAACAAAAUAUGAAUCCUUUCAAUACCGAAGAUACUCAAAGUAGCGAAGACACUCAGAGCAGUGAAAACACUCAGAGCAGAGAAGAUACUCGGAGCGAUGAAUUGUUUAAUAUUGCUACUGGACGAGCAGCAUCGAAAGAAGUGACCGAUUUUUUAUUAAAUGUCGAAAAAACUGGCCAUUGUUUAAGAGAAAAGUUUAUUUCUGAAUGUGCUGAGUCUGAUGAUCGUUUCGAAUUAACUAUUAAACAAAAUAAAAUACUGAAUUUUGCUACUUCAACCCAGAAAAGAUUUGUCUCGAUAAAUAAUAAAGUUCAAGAAGUACGACUGCAGCGUGACUUGUUCAGCCGAAUGGUAGCCAUUUCAAUGAAUGACAAUACUAAUGUUGAAAAAAUUUUGACUUAUCCUCUAACACCUGUUCCAAUGUGUAUGUGUCACUUGGAUGGAUCGAUUUAUAAAACAGAUAAAUCUGUUUUAUUGAAGUCGUUGGAAAAAGAUGUUCAAAGUACAGCCCCAAGCUGCACUGACAUUUGUUUAAUAGACGGAUUCUUUCCCAUACAUUGUAUCAAGGAUUUACCAAAAACAUUCGGAAGCAUCUCCAAAAAAAUACUUCAAAUGGUGACUAACAAUGCAGCCCGUGAAAUUCAUGUAAUUUUUGAUAGAUAUUGGUCACCAUCUAUCAAAGAUUACGAAAGAUCUCAGCGAAGCGGUUCCUCUGGUAAUCAUAUGUACGUGAUUUCUGGACCUGAACAAUCAAGACCAUCAGACUUCAAUAAAGAACUCCGAAAUAGCUUUUUCAAAGAAGCACUCGUGAAAUUUUUAAUCGUCAAUUGGCAAAAUCACGAAUUAAUUCCAUUCUUUCACAAUAAAAAAGUGCUACUCAAUUUUGAUAACUGUUAUCAAUAUGAAGCUGUGAAUGAACGCAUAUUAUUUUCAAAAAAUAAUAAGUAUACUCUCGAUUUGCAUGAAGAAGCGGAUUCAAAAAUAGUAUAUCAUGCGUGCAAUAUCGAGUCAACAGCGAACAUUCUAAUAAAAUGCUCAGAUACGGAUAUCUUAAUUAUUAUGUUGGCUAAUAUGAUUCACGUACAACACAAUAGCAAAGUUUAUAUUCAAACAGGGGUUUGGGAUAAGCAACGAAUAAUUGACGUAUCGGCGUUGCAUGAAAAGUUAGGAGAGAGAAUGUGUUAAUCUCUGCCAGGAUUUCAUGCUCUAACUGGCUGCGAUUUUAAUCCCGCAUUAUUUGGUAAGGGAAAGCAACGUCCUUUACAGAUCUUAAAGAAAAAUGAAGACUUACAAAAAGCAUUCGGCCAAAUUGGACAUGAAGACUGUGAUGAAACCGCUGUUUUCCCGAUUCUUGAAAAGUUCAUCUGUAAUUUGUACAACUUUCCGUUGUUGAGCUCCGUAAAUGAUGCGCGAUUCGCCUUAUUUUUAAAAGCAUAUAAGGUCAAUGAUUUGGAGGAACCUUUCCAGAAAAAAAAAUUGCAGAAUUUUGACUCAUCCACUUUACCUCCUACCCAGGCUGAAUUAACGCAGCAUUUAUUGAGGACCAAAUAUAUUGCUACAAUAUGGAAAAAUGCUCAUAAGAAAAUUCUAUCAUAUUUACGACCAGAAACUUGCGGAUGGAUAUUAGUAGAGGAAAAUUAUACAUUUAAAUGGUUCGACGGACCACAGCUGCCUAGUACAAUACAAGAUAUUAUUGAUACUGGAACAAACGAAGGCGAUGAAGACCUUAAUGCAGAAAUUGAAUCAAAUGAAGAAGAAUAUAUCGAUAGCGAAGGAGAUAUCACGUCCGAAUCAGAUUCCGAUUGCGAAUGUGACUGAAAAUGUUAAUGUGCAGCGCACUUUUUAACCUCGUCUGCCGCGGCUUUAGCCCUCAUUUUUUUGUCUGCCAUUUUGUAAAUGACUUUUGGAAUGUUUAAACUUUAAAAUACAAUAAUUGGAAUUCAUGUACCUUAUGAUUUUUUUUUUAAAUUAAUUUUUGCAAUCUUUAGCGCAGUCUGCCGGCGAGUUAGCCCCUCGCAAAAUGUCUGCCAAUUUUUUUACACUUUCUCAAAUAUAUAACAAAACUUUUCCCGUACAUAGAAUCCCUGUACCUUAUGAAUUUUUUCCCACCCAAAAUUCACCCCUUUCACUGCGUAUCCCC
rnacentral:misc_RNA from 1 species